UGCAUGCAAGUCGAACGGGCGGACCCCUUCGGGGGCGAGCUAGUGGCAGACGGCUGAGUAACGCGUAAGCAACCUACCCACUGGGGGGGGACAACCCGGAGAAAUCCGGGCUAAUACCGCAUGUGAUUGCCGGCCGAUAGCGGGUAAUCAAAGGCUUCGGCCACCAGUGGAUGGGCUUGCGUCCCAUCAGGUAGUUGGUGAGGUAACGGCCCACCAAGCCUACGACGGGUAGCCGGUGUGAGAGCACGACCGGCCAGAGGGGGACUGAGACACGGCCCCCACUCCUACGGGAGGCAGCAGCAGGGAAUCUUGCGCAAUGGGCGAAAGCCUGACGCAGCGACCCCGCGUGAGGGAAGAAGGCCUGCGGGUCGUAAACCUCUUUUCUCGGGGAAGAUAGUGACGGUACCCGAGGAAUAAGCCUCGGCUAACUACGUGCCAGCAGCCGCGGUAAUACGUAGGAGGCUAGCGUUGUCCGGAUUCAUCGGGCGUAAAGGGAGCGCAGGUGGCUGAGUUCGUCCGUGGUGCAAUCUCCAGGCUCAACUUGGAGAGGUCUGCGGAUACUGCUCGGCUUGAGGACGGUAGAGGAGCACGGAAUUCCUGGUGUAGUGGUGAAAUGCGUAUAUAUCAGAGAGGAACACCCGUGGCGAAAGCGGUGCUCUGGGCCGAUCCUGACACUCAGGCUCGAAAGCGUGGGGAGCAAACCGGAUUAUAUACCCGGGUAGUCCACGCCCUAAACGAUGAGUGCUGGGUAUGGGGGGUAUCGACCCCCUCCGUGCCGAAGCUCACGCGUUAAGCACUCCGCCUGGGAGACUACGGCCGCAAGGCUAAAACUCAAAGGUAUUGACGGGGGCCCGCACAAGCAGCGGAGCGUGUGGUUUUAUUCGAUGCAAAGCGAAGAAUCUUACCAGGGUC
rnacentral:rRNA from 1 species